CUUUCCGAGGUCCUCUGCCGCGUGUUUGGAAGUUAUGGCCGCGCGGGUCUGUGGUGUUCUCCCUGAAAGGCCUAAGCUUUGGGUGAUGGUAAGUUGUGGAAAAGGGAAGAUGAGGUUUUUCCUACACAUACCGUCGACACGCUUGCUCUCUCCGGAGGUGACGUGUCGACGAUCAGCCCUUUCCUUUGCUAUUGUGGGCCUUAGGAGGUCUGAGAUGCUGUCUAAGGAAAUGCUCCCCAGACUGCGAGACGUUUGAUGCGGACGGGAUGAAGCCCUUUUUGGUCUUCGAUCUCCCUUCUCUUGGGGCGGGGAGCGGUCUUCUCUCUGUGACCCAAAGCCAGCCAUGUGCUCAGCUCUGUCUUCCCUGGGGUCUCCAUUGAGGGUGGUGGCCUUAAGUGAACACGAGUGACUCCUGCUAACUACAGAUUGUCAUGAACGGGAUUGAAAACUGAAAGCCGUUAGCUCUAACGCGGCAUAACUUCUCCUUCCCCGAAGGCAUUGCCUUUUGGCACUCGGGAGACAAGAUGCAGGUUCCGUCUCAGAAGUAAUGGCUGGAUCCCUGAAAGCCAACGGGCUCGGUGUGGUCCACCCGUCAGAAGGCAUAGGUAGAUGGUGGGCAUCUGCCUCAGACAUAGUUCUCAAGUUCAGCCAGAAGAAUGCGCGUUGAGCCCUCUGCAGCCCGUGUCGGUAAGGGUUCCAAACAAGUCCAGAAGAGGGUCUGUGCCGGUGUAAUUUGGGGCUAUAGAGUGUCGUUCUGCAACUCAACGUGGUUGCCAGAACCGGAUUUCCAAAAAUGAGUUGGGUUGGCACUGGGGGGUUUGGGGGGCCUCUUGCUGGUUGAGCUGAGGAUGAUUUAAGUUAUCCCUGUCUGAAAUGACACUUUUGUGAAGAGUCAUGGUUUACUGAGGCUCGACGUUUUGAGGUCUGUUUUGAGAAUGACCACAGUAAGGUUGCUUCUGUUAGAAUGAAGUGGGAUCUCUUUAUUACUCCUUCAGACGGAGGUGUUGUCUCCAGGAAGCAUCAUGGAAAGGCGUGGUGGUGCACAAGGGCCUUCAGGAUGCCUGCGCCUGGUAAGAGCUUCAUAGAGUCGCAGGGGUUGUGGUAGCUGGGAAGGGUUGGUUGUUAGGUUUGGGGUGGGGGUGGGGUUAGAGGUUGUUGGGGAUUGAUUGUCCAGAGGAGGGCGUGGUCCUCCUUACUCAGCACUCUCACAAGCUGCAUUUAACAUUGGUGAAUACAAAAUUGUUCCUCACUCAACUGCUAAGUAAACUGACGUUCAGUGAGUGGGUUCUGUUUCUUUUGUAUAUGCGUGUGCCACUGCAUCUAUGUGUCUGGUUGACUUGAGUGAGUUUGGUUUCCCCUUUAGCCACCAAGCUGUUUUUUGGCCUAGAAAUUGGGUUAAGUAAAGAUUUGGGCCUGCUACCUGGGAGUAGCACAGAGCCUUGUCUUCUGUAACACAGAAUCACUGGCUUCCAAACCUGGAUAUCUCUCAGAACACGUAAAAAGUGUUAAAAUACACACAUUUCCACCCAGGUCAGUGGAUGAGACGGGUAUGGAGUGGAAUUAAGAGUCCUCGAGGUUUGAGCAGGCAUGGAGAAACGGUUUGAUGACCAUUCUCACAGCAAGACCAGAGCACUGGCUAUGUUUAAGCACCUCCUGAGAUAGGUUUUUUUAAUCCUCAGUCUUAACAGACAGCCAUAUGCUUUUGUACAUGUGGGUGGGGAAAGGAGACACUCCUUUGUAUAGUGUCACCUCUUAGUGGCAGGUGUGGUAAUGGCUGCCCUUCAGUAGGGUCGCUGUAGUGGGUGACCUGUACCAUUUUAGGGAUUUCACUGAUAGUCUACAAAGACUUGCCAAAGACUCUGGCUCAGCUGUAAGGCAGAUGCUGCUGGAAGUGACCUUUUUCCAGAGUCUUCCCUUGUAACCUGGAUUGGCCUUGCAUUUGUUGUGGAACAGGGGUUGGGUUCAAACUCAUAAUUCUGUCUUGGCUUCCUUCCUGUGAGUCACCUUGUCUUUAAGAGGACAGGAGUGAUUAGAGAAAUGGCUUAGUGGUUAAGAACAUUUGCUGAAUCUUUUUUAAAAACUUGUAAAAAGUUCUCGUGCACAAAGGCUGACCUGCUGUGGGAGCUGAGUCCAUGAUGAUAUAAAGCUAUCUGUCUGGAGGCCUUUCUGUGUGGAGUGUGGAUGCCUGAAACUCAGCCUUCCGGGCUUGCCUGGAAGACUCCAUGUGAGUUUUUUAGAGUUAACCUUGUGUGUGUUUCCUUACUGAUAGGUGACGGCUGCGCCUCAGGUUCUGGGCCUGACUCGGAAGGGUGCCUGUGAGCAGAAGAGCUGGCACGCGCAGCUCAGUGGACCAUCAGUGCCAACCCGUCCUGUACCCUGGCUGAGGGGUGUGCUAAGUGGCAGGCAAGUUUCAGCAGGAUUUUUUCGUUUCUUCGCUAGGUUUGUAGCUCUCUUGUGACAGACAAGCGAUUGUCACUGGUUGAGCUGAGGAUGAUUUAAGUUAUCCCUGUCUGAAAUGACACUUUCUGAAGAGUCAUGGUUUACUGAGGCUCGACUUUUAAGACCUAUUUUGAGAAUGUCCACAGUAAGAUUGCUUCUGUUAGAGUGAGGUGUGUUGUCUUCGUUACUCAGAUUCCCGGUUGGCUCAUCGUAAGGCGUGGCACAAAAUCACCAUCGAAAGAAAGGGCCUUCGGGAUGCCUCUAUCUGGUAAGAGCUUCACAGAAUUGCAGGGGUUGUGGUUGCUGGGAAGGGUUAGUCUGUUAGAUCAGGUGCUGCAGAAUCGAGUGUAACCCUUCCUCCCUUUAGUCUUACUGUGUAGCCCGUGCUGGCCUGCAACUUGCUAUGUAGACCUGGUUGACCUCAAACUCAGUUUGUGGCCUUUCAGGUGCUGGGAUUUUCAUGUUCUCAUUUUGUGUUCCCGAAAAGCCCAUAAGCCUAUGAUGGAUUGGUUAUCCCUGUCUGAAGAUUUCAGCUGAGGGAAAAUACUCUAUUCUGAGGCUUAGGGGUGUGGCUCCAUGCUUGAAGAAAUUUGAGCUUUAUAAGGGAUCAAGUUAAAUAGACUCCAUAGAGAGCUGUGUGCCAACCUCCCAAAACCUAAGGUCUAGUUGCCUGUUAAUCCUCCUCCUUGGGUGCUCUGAGGGCAAAGUCCCUGAGUUAGCAGAAAUGGGCGGGCUGCCAGCACCUGUCCUGUGCUCACUGGAGUGAGACAUGCUGGUCACAUAGUUCUAGAAAAUGAAUGUCUUCCUUUAGAGGAGGCAGGGAUGUAAGGCGUGCCAUGAGAAUGCUUGACGACUCUGUCGUUGCCUCUAGCGGUGCUGACAUUUAGAAAAGAAGUUGUGGCCCUGGCAGCCUCCUAAGUAUCGUCUCCUUGAUGGCACAGAAACAAGUGGCGGGCUUGGGGGGGGGGGGGCUUUGCUCAGCCCAGCCUUAGUAAUGCAGUGUACACUGUGUCCUUUUUCUCUAUGGAAUCUGGGGGGUGGAUAUGGGCUUACACUAAAGUAGCUGUACUUGUGGAAUUCUCUGCAGGGUGGCUCUGCUUGCCUUCACUUCUGAGUGGACUCAGGUUCAGGUCCUCAGGGAUUUGGUUGAAUAUAAAUACUCUGAUGUUUCAUGAGAAACCUUUUUUUGGCCACUUACCAGGAACUUCUUAAAACUUUCUUUUAAAAAAAAAGUUAGCAGCCUGCUUCUGAACUUGGCUGGUGCCUGCCUGUGUGUAGCGCACACAGUGCCUUGUGAUGGCGGCUGGAAUCCCAGGACUAUCUGAUAAUGCUUGUUCCUAAAGUUUGUAGUUUUGAUCACUUAGCUGCCUGUCUCCUUCAGGUUCUUUCCUUGUUUCUAGGUUAUUGCCCUGUAGUGCCAGAGAGAACCACAUAGCCUGCUGCUGCUCCUGCCUUUAAUUUCCCAAAGAGUCAUCAGACGACCUUGGAGUUUGUUCUGCAAGAGGAGCCAGUAAGGCCUCGUGACUGUGGUCACCCUCGGAAGCCUUUGACAGCUAGCUGGUGAGGGCGCUCAGUCGGAGGCCCUGGGGAGGCCCCUGCUAAGCCGAGAAAAGCAUUUCUCACAGUGGAUUUCCUGGAAGUCAGGGUUGGCCUUUGUAUUUUGAAGCACAAAUAAACUUUAUAAAAUUUAA
rnacentral:lncRNA from 1 species